rnacentral:rRNA from 1 species
GACGAACGCUGGCGGCGUGCUUAACACAUGCAAGUCGAACGGUGAAGCUCCAGCUUGCUGGAGUGGAUCAGUGGCGAACGGGUGUGUAACACGUGAGCAACCUGCCCCUUACUCUGGAAUAAGCGCUGGAAACGGCGUCUAAUACUGGAUACGAGAAGUGUCCGCAUGGGCACUUUCUGGAAAGUUUUUCGGUUGGGGAUGGGCUCGCGGCCUAUCAGCUUGUUGGUGAGGUAAUGGCUCACCAAGGCGACGACGGGUAGCCGGCCUGAGAGGGCGACCGGCCACACUGGGACUGAGACACGGCCCAGACUCCUACGGGAGGCAGCAGUGGGGAAUAUUGCACGAUGGGCGAAAGCCUGAUGCAGCGACGCCGCGUGAGAGAUGACGGCCUUCGGGUUGUAAACCUCUUUCAGCAGGGAAGAAGCGCAAGUGACGGUACCUGCAGAAGAAGCACCGGCUAACUACGUG